AGCGAACGCUGGCGGCAGGCCUAACACAUGCAAGUCGAACGGACCCUUCGGGGUUAGUGGCGGACGGGUGAGUAACACGUGGGAACGUGCCUUUAGGUUCGGAAUAGCUCCUGGAAACGGGUGGUAAUGCCGAAUGUGCCCUUCGGGGGAAGAUUUAUCGCCUUUAGAGCGGCCCGCGUCUGAUUAGCUAGUUGGUGGUGUAACGGACCACCAAGGCGACGAUCAGUAGCUGGUCUGAGAGGAUGAUCAGCCACAUUGGGACUGAGACACGGCCCAAACUCCUACGGGAGGCAGCAGUGGGGAAUCUGGCGCAAUGGGCGAAAGCCUGACGCAGCCAUGCCGCGUGAAUGAUGAAGGUCUUAGGAUUGUAAAAUUCUUUCGCCGGGGACGAUAAUGGCGGUACCCGGAGAAGAAGCCCCGGCUAACUUCGUGCCAGCCGCCGCGGUAACAC
rnacentral:rRNA from 1 species